GAUGAACGCUGGCGGCAUGCCUAAUACAUGCAAGUCGAACGAGAGGAAGGAAAGCUUGCUUUUCUGAAUCUAGUGGCGAACGGGUGAGUAACACGUAGGUAACCUGCCCAUGUGCCCGGGAUAACUUCUGGAAACGGAUGCUAAAACCGGAUAGGUAGCAGACAAGCAUUUGACUGCUAUUAAAGUGGCUAAGGCCAUGAACAUGGAUGGACCUGCGGUGCAUUAGCUAGUUGGUGAGGUAACGGCCCACCAAGGCGACGUUGCAUAGCCGGCAGGAGAGGGCGGACGGCCACAUUGGGACUGAGACACGGCCCAAACGCCUACGGGAGGCAGCAGUAGGGAAUUUUCGUCAAUGGGGGGAACCCUGAACGAGCAAUGCCGCGUGAGUGAGGAAGGUCUUCGGAUCGUAAAGCUCUGUUGUAAGAGAAAAACGACAUUCAUAGGGAAUGAUGAGUGAGUGAUGGUAUCUUACCAGAAAGUCACGGCUAACUACGUGCCAGCCGCCGCAGUAA
rnacentral:rRNA from 1 species